rnacentral:lncRNA from 1 species
ACCAAAGCUUUUAAAAUUUUAAUAUGUUGUUACUGACAACUAAAUGAAGGUCAAGUUCAAUAAUGGCGAUUUUGACUUUUACCGUUCAGGAGUUAAGGUUCUUGAAAGAUUGAAAAAUGGAGUUGUCCGUGCAUUUACGCAUGAACUGUUCUACCAAAGCUUCCCAAAUUUUAAUAUGUUGUUACUAAUGAAAGAAUGGAGGUCAAGUUCAAUAAUGACGAAUUUGACUUUUACCGUUCAGGAGUUAUGGUUCUUGAAAGAUUGAAAAACGGAGUUUCCAGUCGUGUCCGUGCAUUUAUGCAUAAACUGUUCUACCAAAGCUUCUGAAAUUUUAAUAUGCUGUUACUGAUGACAAAAUGGAGGUCAAGUUCAAUAAUGACGAUUUUGACUUUUACCGUUCAGGAGUUAUGGUUCUUGAAAGAUUGAAAAAUGGUUUUUCCCGUCGUGUCCGUGCAUUUUCUCAUGAACCAUUCAACCAAAGCUUUUGAAAUUUUAAUAUGUUGUUACUGAUGACAAAAUAGAGGUCAAGUUCAAUAAUGACGAUUUUGACUUUUACCGUUCAGGAGUUAUGGUUCUUGAAAGAUCGUAAAAUGGCGUUUCCAUUCAGGUUGUUGCAUUUACUCAUGAACCAUUCAAUCUAAGCUUUUCAAAUUUUAAUAUGUUGAUACUGAUGACAAAAUGGAGGUCAAAUUUGAUAUUGACGAUUUUCACUUUCACCAUUCAUCAGUAAUGGUUUUUGUGAUAUUGCCAGGACACAAAUAAAUGUUAAUAAAUCCGGUUUGCUGUCGUUGUGACAGCCUCUUGUUAAAAUUAACUAUGACUUU